AUAGCUUUGGUCCUGGGCUUACCGUUAUUUUUUAUCAAGAUUAUACAUGCAAGCUUCAACAAUCCAGUGAAAAUGCCCAAAACCCCUUAAAAGAUGAAAUGGAGCAGGCAUCAGGCACUAUAGCAAGCCCAUGACGCCUUGCCUCGCCACACCCCCACGGGUUCAUCAGCAGUAAUAAACAUUGGGCUAUAAGUGAAAACUUGACCCUACUAUGAUAACUUGGGGCUGGUCAAUUUCGUGCCAGCCACCGCGGUUAAACGAAAAGCCCCAAAACAACGGUUAACGGCGUAAAAUGUGACUAGAGGACUUCUAUAUUAAGAACACUAAAAACCCACUGUCCGGUUGUAAAAUACUUAGACAAUGGGGAAAACCAACACAAAGUGUUUUUAUGUUAUAUUCUUGACCACACGAAAGCUUAGAAACAAACUAGGAUUAGAUACCCUACUAUGCUAAGCCCUAAACAUUGAUAGCUAUCAUACAACGCUUUCCGCCAGAGAACUACAAGUGAAAUACUUGAAACUCAAAGGACUUGACGGUGUCCCAUAUCGA
rnacentral:rRNA from 1 species